rnacentral:rRNA from 1 species
UACGGAGGGUGCAAGCGUUGUCCGGAUUCACUGGGUUUAAAGGGUGCGUAGGUGGGCAGGUAAGUCAGUGGUGAAAUCUCUGGGCUUAACCCAGAAACUGCCGUUGAUACUAUCUGUCUUGAAUAUAGUGGAGGUGAGCGGAAUAUGUCAUGUAGCGGUGAAAUGCUUAGAUAUGACAUAGAACACCCAUUGCGAAGGCAGCUCGCUACACUAUUAUUGACACUGAGGCACGAAAGCGUGGGGAUCAAACAGG